GUUUAGCCCUGAUAGCAAUGGAAAGCCUUUUUACAAUUUUUCUUGAUUUUUGUUGGCUAAAAAGAGCGACCAACGGAAGCUCCUUUUUGGCCUUACAAAAACAUGAAAAAUGUGAAAAGCUUGGAAUGUAUAGCAGGAAAUAGC
rnacentral:sRNA from 1 species